CAGAGCUGCCAGAGUCCAUUUUCGACCAGGUGUUCCGGUCAAAAACCAGAUGUCUGGUCACCCCACAGCAACGUGCUCACAGACUGGCUUCCUGGUGCCUCCUCCAAACUCUUCCCUCCUGCAGCUUUUGUUCCUCCAUCCAAGUUUCAUGCAGGUUGCUACAUUUUUCCUUUUAAUAGUUCUUAUAUUUGUUUGUUUUGUGCAAACAUUUGCUCACCUUCUGGGGCCAGAGAUUACUCAUACAUAGCCCACCCUCGAAACCUGGCCUAGCCUUUUGCAGUCUUAGUUCUCAUAUUCCAUCAAGUAUGCCGGUUUCUGAACCAGUCUCCCACUACUUGUUUGUGUUGCUGAUUUUAGUGCAGGACACUGUUCUGACCUUCAUUCUGUUGGGUGGCAUCCUGCUGGUCUUCUGUUUUACUCAGAUACCUUGUUUUCUUCUGACUCUCCUACAUCAGGCCAACUCAAGGCUGAGGCUCUUUCUAAGUUCUGGUCCUGUCAUUGGCCUGUCUGUCCAGAUGUGCCAGCUCUCCACCACUGUUCUACAAUUGUGUUUGGUUUUAUCUUCAUCACUGGCCUGAGUCUGUAGCUACUUCAUGUGACCUGUGUUCCAUUGCAGCUUGGACAGUUGCAUUUUGCCAUUGCUAUUUAUUGACUAGACCCAGACCUGCUCACCUGUGCAUAUUGGCCUCAGGUUCUUGGCUCCUUGCAGGCUGCCUGAUUAGCUGGGCGUUCUGUUAACCACUUCUUUGUCCUGUCCAUUAUCUCUUCGCUGGGCUGCAGCAGACUACCAUUCAUGGAAAGCAGAGAAUUGGCAUAGUCUGAUAUCAUGAUCCUAGAGUAUCUCUCAACAUCUCCUUCUGCUACAA